rnacentral:lncRNA from 1 species
CCUAAACCUAAGCAAGCAAAGUGGGAAGCUCAUCGUAAUGCACUCUGCAGAAAGGGCCAGCUAGCUUACUGGUCUUUGAUGGAGAUACAAAUUGCCUUCAGCAAAGGAAGUAACUGUUUUAUAAAAAUCCUUUCAGAGGAAAUUAUGAGUUGUUUAAAUGACCAUUAAUGGCAAAUGGAAUCAAUUCAGCCAAAUCUGGAAUAUAAAUUAUUUGUAUGGACACUACAGUGAUGAUGCAAAGGCCUCUUAAAAAGU